UGUGGUACUUAUGGAGUGCUAGCGCAGCAUCCCCAGUCGCUGCCUCCUCCUGGUUGUUGUCGUGGACACCCACGACGCCGGUGCUAUACAUCACCAACCCUCCCCAACCUCCUCCCUCCCUUCGUUGCUAGGACCUGACACAAAAGGGGUGCCACUGACGAUUGGGAUUAGUGAGGAGUGUUGCCAGAUCCAUUGCCGCGACCUCGCCGCUGCCUCAUUCUUAGAGCACAGGAACCCUCAGCUGCCGUUUCCCCAAUGAAUAGAGGCUUCAGAUCGGGCGAAGCAACUGGAGUUUUGCAGGUUGCAGGGAAGGGCGAGCCACGAACGCGAGCCCGGGGCAGGGAAUGGCGAACUGGGUGUCAUGCUGGGCGGCGGUUCCAUGGACGCGAGCGUGGGGCAGGGAAGGCCGAGCUAGGCAUGAUUGGUGGACGUGAUCUCACGACCGUGAUUGCAGGAUGUGGGAGCUCGCGCGUGGGAGGAGGCCCCGUCUGCCGGCGCUGCCGGAUCACAGGUUGGGCAGACGGACGAACCAAAGAUUUUAUCGGGCGCGGCCACCGGCCUCGUUGCGGCCUCCCGCAGCUCGCGGUGGGCGGGGCGCGGCCAAC
rnacentral:lncRNA from 1 species